CACGUAGGGUGCAAGCGUUGUCCGGAAUCAUUGGGCGUAAAGAGCUCGUAGGCGGCUUAGUAAGUCGGGUGUGAAAACCCCAGGCUCAACCUGGGGACGCCACCCGAUACUGCUAUAGCUAGAGUCCAGUAGGGGAGUGUGGAAUUCCCAGUGUAGCGGUGAAAUGCGCAGAUAUCAGGAGGAACACCAGCGGCGAAGGCGGCGCUCUGGGCUGGAACUGACGCUGAGGAGCGAAAGCGUGGGGAGCGAACAGG
rnacentral:rRNA from 1 species